UACGAAGGGUGCAAGCGUUACUCGGAAUUACUGGGCGUAAAGAGCUCGUAGGCGGUUCGUCGCGUCGGCUGUGAAAUCCCGAGGCUCAACCUCGGGUCUGCAGUCGAUACGGGCGGACUGGAGUUCGGCGAGGGGAGACUGGAAUUCCGUGGUGUAGCGGUAGAAAUGCGCAGAUAUUAGGAAGAACACCAGUGGCGAAGGCGGCUUACUGGUCCGGAACUGACGCUGAGGUGCGAAAGCGUGGGGAGCAAACAGG
rnacentral:rRNA from 1 species